CGCCUUAAGAUACAUUCGAUUUGCCGUCUAAAAUCGUCUCGACGAGUGCUAGCUACUAUAUAUAGUUAAUUAAAUUAAGAAUUUGUGAUUUCUAAGAUUCCCUACGUCAAUUAGAGGAGUAUGUCUGGCCUAGUAUAAUUUUGUCUACAAUCGAGACCACGCAUGCACCGUCACAUGUAUAUCUGUUUCAGUAAAGAACACUAGAGACAAGUUUACAUAAUAGUGGUGACGUCAUCUAGUCUUUCAAAUUAACUGAGUGGACAACAAUGUAGGGAAUCAUGUGGGUACGUUGGAAAACUAGACACUUGUCCCAACCCCAAUCCCAACACGACUAUCUCAAUGUAACCAUAAAAUAUCACUACUGUCCGGUGUUACGGUGAUGUGUUUCCCCGGGUUACAAGUUUCCCCGCACAUAUAUCCCUAGUGUUUUGUGUCUCCCCCGCACACAUUACUGGACUAUCAAAGACACGGCAAGAGCGCAUGCUUCAACCAUUCAAAGUUGACGCGCACGAUGGAUAAGAAACAAUAUGAGAGACUGGUCUCCUAUAUUGUAAAUGGAGAGUAUCCAAACGGACUAACAAAAUCAGAGAAGUUUGUACUGAGGCGAGCGAGCAAGAUCUACUCGGUGCAAGAUGAGAGUCUCUAAUUUUUUUAGAUAUUACGAGGACGAAAUGGCCGAUGGACAAGCUACUCUCUCGCGCUUAGUGUUACAGGGGAGAGAAGAAGUGGAACGUGUGUAUACACAGAAUGUCAUUUAUCAGCUGGUGGUCGUAAAGGACGAGAUGCUACUAUCGAAAAAUCAAACAACGCUAUUACUGGCCAAACUACUAGAAAGAAAUCACAGAAAAGGUAAGGUUGUAUGGGCUGCGCGAUAGAAGGGGUAGGGGAAGUGCACAUAUUUGCCAUACUUGAGUACAGAAGGCUACACAGUACUUACGUGUUGAACGCUGUUUUGUAUUCUUUGCAACUGCUUCGUAGGACGUAGAAAUUGCAUUUUGUAUCUAUAACUCUAUAGAUCAAAUUAUGUGACAGAUGCCAGAGACGCUCCUCAACUGCAAUCUGCAGCUUUGCCAUUGCAACCCAGUAGAGUUCACCCAGAAGUCCGGUAUCUUUUUGCCACAGACCUGAUAGGACUUUUCCAGGAUAGUAAAAUCGCAGCAAGUAUGUCGUAACAAUCACGUAUUACUUCAGCAAGUACGUAGAAGCUGUCCCAAUACAAGACAAGUCAGCAUUCAAUGUUGCAAGAGCAAUAUACAAGGUUUUUAUUAUCGUUAGCAAGUCCUUUGUGUCCGUUUUCUUUUAGAUAGUCGCCUAGGAGUCUGGACACCAAUAAGUAGAAAGACUAGGUAAUAUAUCUUUUUUUUAAAAAACAACUAAAAUUUAGUGAGCAGAGACCUAAUUAUACUAAGUGGGCGUGAUGUAAAUUGAGGCCUGUCCACACUGCACUUUGAAAACGCUGUACCUCCGCCUCAUUUUUGACAUCACGUGACUGAUGACCGAUGUGUACGUGUGGCUUCUUUGCUUGUGGAAAGCGUUGAUACAGCGACGUAAGGUGAGCAAGAACAAAGACGAGUGAGGAGUGUUAGAUGUCUGACUACACGCGUAGCGUACGUGAAGGUAACGCCCACUAUUUCUAAUUGGAUUCAACCGAUGGCGAUCGAAACCACCUUGCGAUGUGGAUUGGAUUUAUCGCUAUCCAAUUGCAAGUGUGGACAGGGUUGCGGUUGGAUCGCGAUCCAGUUUGCCAGUGUGGACAGGCCUUUAGGUAUACUGUCGUCAUGGAGCUCCUGAUUUGUGACCAAGGAACUGAAUUUAUAAUGAACAAGGUGAAUGAAAACCUUUAGAAGAACUUUGACGUCAAGAUGAGAAUUACACUGGCAUAUCAUCUGCAAUCUAAUGGGUUGGACGAAAGAACAAAUUAGACAAUCAAGAGAUCUCUCUCUAAAAUGAUGUCUUCACCUGAUUAUGAUUGGGAGAAGUACUUAGAUUCGGUGAUCUUUGCAACAAAUACAAGUCGCUAAGGCACAACCAACAACAGUCCAUUUAGAAUGAUGUUUGGACGUGAGCCAAGGUUUCCAUUAGAAACUGAGAAGGAUGGAGAUGGUACAGACAUGAGUGAUGUCCAGAAGCAAUGCCAAGACUGUGAUGGUGAACAAGUGAUAGACAAGAUUAUUGAAAAGCAGACAUCUCUUUUCCGUGAAGUGGAGCAACGAAUCUGCUCAGAUGUUGCUGUAGAGCCUCAUCUUCAUCCCCUUUCUGGAGAAAGUCUUCAGUGGCGUACUGCAAAUUCUGAUGAUGAAGCAUAAGAUUCUCAACUCAAUUUCAGAAGUGCAACGCAAAGGUCAUCAUGAGAAAAAUCUCAGCUCUGACAAAUGACAUUGACUGUACUGUAGAUUGCUCUACCCAGUUUUUCAGCCACUAAGUUGGCUCAGGGUAGUCUGCAUUGUUCUCUUUUAAGUGUUACAUGUUUGUUUUUAAAUCUAGUCCUAGUAAACUCUUGUAGUUACAGAACUUUAUAUAGUUACCUUGCUAGCAUUGCAUUAUAGAUGUAUGUUUGAAAUAAAUGUUAUUUGAC